rnacentral:rRNA from 1 species
UACGUAGGGGGCAAGCGUUAUUCGGAAUUACUGGGCGUAAAGCGUGCGCAGGCGGCUUUGCAAGACAGAUGUGAAAUCCCCGGGCUCAACCUGGGAACUGCAUUUGUGACUGCAAGGCUAGAGUACGGUAGAGGGGGAUGGAAUUCCGCGUGUAGCAGUGAAAUGCGUAGAUAUGCGGAGGAACACCGAUGGCGAAGGCAAUCCCCUGGACCUGUACUGACGCUCAUGCACGAAAGCGUGGGGAGCAAACAGG